GUGGGGAAUCUUCCGCAAUGGACGAAAGUCUGACGGAGCAACGCCGCGUGAGUGAUGACGGCCUUCGGGUUGUAAAGCUCUGUGAUCGGGGACGAAUGGCUGGUAUGCUAAUACCAUAUCAGAGUGACGGUACCCGAAUAGCAAGCCACGGCUAACUACGUGCCAGCAGCCGCGGUAAUACGUAGGUGACAAGCGUUGUCCGGAAUUAUUGGGCGUAAAGCGCGCGCAGGCGGCUUCUUAAGUCCAUCUUAAAAGUGCGGGGCUUAACCCCGUGAUGGGAUGGAAACUGGGAGGCUGGAGUAUCGGAGAGGAAAGUGGAAUUCCUAGUGUAGCGGUGAAAUGCGUAGAGAUUAGGAAGAACACCGGUGGCGAAGGCGACUUUCUGGACGACAACUGACGCUGAGGCGCGAAAGCGUGGGGAGCAAACAGGAUUAGAAACCCUGGUAGUCC
rnacentral:rRNA from 1 species